rnacentral:rRNA from 1 species
CGGACGGGUGAGUAACGCGUGGGUAACCUGCCUCAUACAGGGGGAUAACAGUUAGAAAUGACUGCUAAUACCGCAUAAGACCACAGCACCGCAUGGUGCAGGGGCAAAAACUUCGGUGGUAUGAGAUGGACCCGCGUCUGAUUAGGUAGUUGGUGGGGUAACGGCCUACCAAGCCGACGAUCAGUAGCCGACCUGAGAGGGUGACCGGCCACAUUGGGACUGAGACACGGCCCAA